rnacentral:rRNA from 1 species
UUGAACGCUGGCGGCAGGCCUAACACAUGCAAGUCGAGCGGUAGCACAGAGAGCUUGCUCUCGGGUGACGAGCGGCGGACGGGUGAGUAAUGUCUGGGAAACUGCCUGAUGGAGGGGGAUAACUACUGGAAACGGUAGCUAAUACCGCAUAAUGUCGCAAGACCAAAGUGGGGGACCUUCGGGCCUCAUGCCAUCAGAUGUGCCCAGAUGGGAUUAGCUAGUAGGUGGGGUAACGGCUCACCUAGGCGACGAUCCCUAGCUGGUCUGAGAGGAUGACCAGCCACACUGGAACUGAGACACGGUCCAGACUCCUACGGGAGGCAGCAGUGGGGAAUAUUGCACAAUGGGCGCAAGCCUGAUGCAGCCAUGCCGCGUGUGUGAAGAAGGCCUUCGGGUUGUAAAGCACUUUCAGCGGGGAGGAAGGCGGUGAGGUUAAUAACCUCAUCGAUUGACGUUACCCGCAGAAGAAGCACCGGCUAACUCCGUGCCAGCAGCCGCGGUAAUACGGAGGGUGCAAGCGUUAAUCGGAAUUACUGGGCGUAAAGCGCACGCAGGCGGUCUGUCAAGUCGGAUGUGAAAUCCCCGGGCUCAACCUGGGAACUGCAUUCGAAACUGGCAGGCUAGAGUCUUGUAGAGGGGGGUAGAAUUCCAGGUGUAGCGGUGAAAUGCGUAGAGAUCUGGAGGAAUACCGGUGGCGAAGGCGGCCCCCUGGACAAAGACUGACGCUCAGGUGCGAAAGCGUGGGGAGCAAACAGGAUUAGAUACCCUGGUUGUCCACGCCGUAAACGAUGUCGAUUUGGAGGUUGUGCCCUUGAGGCGUGGCUUCCGGAGCUAACGCGUUAAAUCGACCGCCUGGGGAGUACGGCCGCAAGGUUAAAACUCAAAUGAAUUGACGGGGGCCCGCACAAGCGGUGGAGCAUGUGGUUUAAUUCGAUGCAACGCGAAGAACCUUACCUGGUCUUGACAUCCACAGAACUUUCCAGAGAUGGAUUGGUGCCUUCGGGAACUGUGAGACAGGUGCUGCAUGGCUGUCGUCAGCUCGUGUUGUGAAAUGUUGGGUUAAGUCCCGCAACGAGCGCAACCCUUAUCCUUUGUUGCCAGCGGUUAGGCCGGGAACUCAAAGGAGACUGCCAGUGAUAAACUGGAGGAAGGUGGGGAUGACGUCAAGUCAUCAUGGCCCUUACGACCAGGGCUACACACGUGCUACAAUGGCAUAUACAAAGAGAAGCGACCUCGCGAGAGCAAGCGGACCUCAUAAAGUAUGUCGUAGUCCGGAUUGGAGUCUGCAACUCGACUCCAUGAAGUCGGAAUCGCUAGUAAUCGUAGAUCAGAAUGCUACGGUGAAUACGUUCCCGGGCCUUGUACACACCGCCCGUCACACCAUGGGAGUGGGUUGCAAAAGAAGUAGGUAGCUUAACCUUCGGGAGGGCGCUUACCACUUUGUGAUUCAUGACUGGGGUG